rnacentral:rRNA from 1 species
UACGGAGGGUGCAAGCGUUAUCCGGAUUCACUGGGUUUAAAGGGUGCGUAGGCGGGCUUGUAAGUCAGUGGUGAAAGCCCGGAGCUUAACUCCGGAACUGCCAUUGAUACUGCAAGUCUUGGGUACACUUGAGGUGGGCGGAAUACAUCAUGUAGUGGUGAAAUACUUAGAUAUGAUGUAGAACACCGAUUGCGAAGGCAGCUCACUAAAUUGUAACUGACGCUGAGGCACGAAAGCGUGGGGAUCAAACAGG